UUCGGACCAAACGGGGCUUAGGCUCCGGCGCAAAGAGAGGCCCAAGUGAGAUUAGCUAGUUGGUAAGGUAACGGCUUACCAAGGCGACGAUCUCUAGCUGUUCUGAGAGGAAGAUCAGCCACACUGGGACUGAGACACGGCCCAGACUCCUACGGGAGGCAGCAGUGGGGAAUAUUGCACAAUGGGGGAAACCCUGAUGCAGCCAUGCCGCGUGUGUGAAGAAGGCCUUCGGGUUGUAAAGCACUUUCAGUUGUGAGGAAAAGUUAGUAGUUAAUACCUGCUAGCCGUGACGUUAACAACAGAAGAAGCACCGGCUAACUCCGUGCCAGCAGCCGCGGUAAUACGGAGGGUGCGAGCGUUAAUCGGAAUUACUGGGCGUAAAGCGCACGCAGGCGGUUUGUUAAGCUAGAUGUGAAAGCCCCGGGCUCAACCUGGGAUGGUCAUUUAGAACUGGCAGACUAGAGUCUUGGAGAGGGGAGUGGAAUUCCAGGUGUAGCGGUGAAAUGCGUAGAUAUCUGGAGGAACAUCAGUGGCGAAGGCGACUCCCUGGCCAAAGACUGACGCUCAUGUGCGAAAGUGUGGGUAGCGAACAGGAUUAGAUACCCUGGUAGUCCACACCGUAAACGCUGUCUACUAGCUGUGUGUGCCUUUAAGGCGUGCGUAGCGAAGCUAACGCGCUAAGUAGACCGCCUGGGGAGU
rnacentral:rRNA from 1 species